rnacentral:rRNA from 1 species
UACGAAGGGGGCUAGCGUUGCUCGGAAUCACUGGGCGUAAAGGGCGCGUAGGCGGCCAUUCAAGUCGGGGGUGAAAGCCUGUGGCUCAACCACAGAAUUGCCUUCGAUACUGUUUGGCUUGAGUUUGGUAGAGGUUGGUGGAACUGCGAGUGUAGAGGUGAAAUUCGUAGAUAUUCGUAAGAACACCAGUGGCGAAGGCGGCCAACUGGACCAACACUGACGCUGAGGCGCGAAAGCGUGGGGAGCAAACAGG